rnacentral:rRNA from 1 species
GACGAACGCUGGCGGCGUGCUUAACACAUGCAAGUCGAACGGAAAGGCCCUGCUUUUGUGGGGUGCUCGAGUGGCGAACGGGUGAGUAACACGUGAGUAACCUGCCCGUGACUUUGGGAUAACUUCAGGAAACUGGGGCUAAUACCGGAUAGGAGCUCCUGCUGCAUGGUGGGGGUUGGAAAGUUUCGGCGGUUGGGGAUGGACUCGCGGCUUAUCAGCUUGUUGGUGGGGUAGUGGCUUACCAAGGCUUUGACGGGUAGCCGGCCUGAGAGGGUGACCGGCCACAUUGGGACUAAGAUACGGCCCAGACUCCUACGGGGGGCAGCAGUGGGGAAUAUUGCACAAUGGGCGGGAGCCUGAUACAGAGACGCCGCGUGCGGAAUGACGGCCUUCGGGUUGUGAACCGCUUUCGCCUGUGACGAAGCGUGAGUGACGGUAAUGGGUAAAGAAGCACCGGCUAACUACGUG